rnacentral:rRNA from 1 species
UACAGAGGUCUCAAGCGUUGUUCGGAUUCAUUGGGCGUAAAGGGUGCGUAGGCGGCGCGGUAAGUCGGGUGUGAAAUCUUGGAGCUUAACUCCGAAACUGCAUUCGAUACUGCCGUGUUUGAGGUACUGGAGAGGAGACUGGAAUUUACGGUGUAGCGGUGAAAUGCGUAGAUAUCGUAAGGAAGACCAGUGGCGAAGGCGGGGUCUC